GGUCAGUGAUGAUUGGUAAAAGGUCUGAUUGCACUGAAUGUCACAGUUCCUUCCUGCCCUCAACUCCCAGCAGCCUAGUUUUUCCCUUGCACAUUGAAGUCAUGUGUAUAGGUAAUGAGCUGCUGAUAGUUUGGGAUUCUGUCAUUCUGUGUUCCAAGAGUAAGUGGUUCACAGUGAUGGGUAUAUCCAACAGCACCAGCUUCACAGGAGCCUGAGGAGCGGCAGGAAGGGUGUGACAGUGCAUGAUCUCAAGUUUUCAAUCUGAGACC
ensembl:scaRNA